AGCGCAAAACAAGUUGUUUGAACUCGACAGAAUCAGCAAUGAGCUAGAUGCUUUUGUGGAAAGGACAAAGAGUGCUGUUGUUGAGGAAACCGAGACACAAGAAACUGAUACAUAAACUGAAACGGAUCUUCAGGUCCACUGUAUCACUUGCGGAUUGCCGCUGGCUCCUAAAGUGGCUCUGCGACACAUGGAAAAGUGUUACAUGAAGAAUGAAAGCUUAACAACGUUUGGCUCCAUCUAUAAAAGUGCAGGGUAACUUUG